AUUGAACGCUGGCGGCAGGCCUAACACAUGCAAGUCGAACGAGUGGCGGACGGGUGAGUAAUGUAUGGGAAACUGCCCGAUAGAGGGGGAUAACUACUGGAAACGGUGGCUAAUACCGCAUACUAUCGGAUGUACCCAUAUGGGAUUAGCUAGUAGGUGGGGUAACGGCUCACCUAGGCGACGAUCCCUAGCUGGUCUGAGAGGAUGACCAGCCACACUGGGACUGAGACACGGUCCAGACUCCUACGGGAGGCAGCAGUGGGGAAUAUUGCACAAUGGGCGAAAGCCUGAUGCAGCCAUGCCGCGUGUAUGAAGAAGGCCUUCGGGUUGUAAAGUACUUUCAGCGGGGAGGCGUUACCCGCAGAAGAAGCACCGGCUAACUCCGUGCCAGCAGCCGCGGUAAUUC
rnacentral:rRNA from 1 species